rnacentral:rRNA from 1 species
GUGUCAGCCGCCGCGGUAAUACAGAGGUCCCAAGCGUUGUUCGGAUUCACUGGGCGUAAAGGGUGCGUAGGCGGUUUGACAAGUCUGAUGUGAAAUCCCGCAGCUUAACUGCGGAACUGCAUUGGAAACUGUUUGACUAGAGGAAUGGAGGGGAGACUGGAAUACUUGGUGUAGCAGUGAAAUGCGUAGAUAUCAAGUGGAACACCAGUGGCGAAGGCGAGUCUCUGGACAUUUCCUGACGCUGAGGCACGAAAGCCAGGGGAGCAAACGGGAUUAGAUACCCCCGUAGUCC